CAGCCGGCCGCGGUAACACGAAGGGUGCAAGCGUUACUCGGAAUUACUGGGCGUAAAGCGUGCGUAGGUGGUGGUUUAAGUCCGUUGUGAAAGCCCUGGGCUCAACCUGGGAAUUGCAGUGGAUACUGGGUCACUAGAGUGUGGUAGAGGAUAGUGGAAUUUCCGGUGUAGCAGUGAAAUGCGUAGAGAUCGGAAGGAACAUCUGUGGCGAAGGCGACUAUCUGGGCCAACACUGACACUGAGGCACGAAAGCGUGGGGAGCAAACAGGAUUAGAUACCCCCGUAGUCCCUGUCUCUUAUA
rnacentral:rRNA from 1 species